rnacentral:rRNA from 1 species
CAAUGGGCGCAAGCCUGAUCUAGCCAUGCCGCGUGUGUGAUGAAGGUCUUAGGAUCGUAAAGCACUUUCGCCAGGGAUGAUAAUGACAGUACCUGGUAAAGAAACCCCGGCUAACUCCGUGCCAGCAGCCGCGGUAAUACGGAGGGGGUUAGCGUUGUUCGGAAUUACUGGGCGUAAAGCGUACGUAGGCGGAUCAGAAAGUUAGGGGUGAAAUCCCGAGGCUCAACCUCGGAACUGCCUCUAAAACUCCUGGUCUUGAGUUCGAGAGAGGUGAGUGGAAUUCCAAGUGUAGAGGUGAAAU